CCUACAUAUGUGAGACCCAGACUGAACUCACAGAGCUGGCCAGUUUACCCCCCUUUUCCUCCCAGACAGCCUACUUUCAUCACAGUGCACAACUGAAAUUGGAGACCACUUGGGUUUCCUUACUUUGAAAAAGCUCAGAAAGAACCUUUGCAAGUCCUGAUGAAAGGCUGCAGAGAGGAGCUGAAAUUAAGUCAUCAGAGUUCACAAUUUGUCUUGGAUAAGAGCCUAAUUCAGUUUAUAAUGCAAAGCCUAUGCUGCAGUUCCAGCACCAGAUUUGCAGUGUCGAGGACAGAGUAACUUGAAGGAAGGAAAAUUCAAAAGGCAGUUGAUUCAAAGAUCCUCCUAAACUGAGCAAGAACGCAGAAGAGCAUAUGCCUUCAAAAGCAACAUUUGCUGAGACAGCAGGAAUCAAAUUCUUCCAGAAAUUAAAUGCUCCUUAGCCCCCAGUACAGUUAUUGUCUCAUAGCCCUAGCACUAGUCUCCAUUGGAAGCUGAUGGCUUGCCAGAAGAAUUUGUUACUGCAACAUGAUGCUAUAGUCUCCAGUGCUGAUUCACCCUGACAGAGACCUGCAGAAUCAGUGGAUAAUUUGAGCCAUGACCACAGAAGACAGUGAAGCCUGUGGACCACAUCAAGAGUGCUUCAGAUCAGCAUCUGAGCCUCCUGAAAAAUUAAGGAUGUAACAUCUGCAUGGUGUCAAUCCCAUCAAAGCAACACUGGAAAACUGGGUAUCCAGCAGGGAAUGUCAAAAGAGUAGCUAUAGGAAACCAUUAUGUGUUCCCUACCAUGCCUGCUCACUUAGUGAAAUACUCCAGGAAAAUCCAUGCUGCAAGGAACCUGGAGCCAUUAAUGUUUAUUAAGUCAUGGCUGGUGCUCAAUGCUGACCACAGAAAUAAAGCCAUGAAUCAAAGAAAUCGCCCAUAUAUUACAGCUGGCCCUUAUGGUUUGUUUUUUUCUUGGCCCUGUGUUUCUGUUCUCUGUCUGCUGACCAAUGGUGUUUUUUUAAAAAGAGAAACUAACAUUUAGAAAUGGAACAGUCCAGCUAUCUGAUUGCUUUUUGGAUAAUCCCUUUGAUACGUUGUCACUAAAGAAAAAAGUAGGGUGUAUGGGCUGUAAAUAAAGACAUUUCUUUUGACACAUUGCCAUGUUUGGGAUUUUUUUUUAUCUGUGGAAUUUGCUUUUCCUUUGUCAAUGAAUCCUUACUUCUGUCAGUUUGGGCUGUCUUCUACUGCAAGUGAAUUGCGUUUUAUCCCAACAAAUUUUUAACUGGUAGAUCUAAUCUGAAAAGUCACAGUUUGAGCUAGGGACCAUUUGCUUCUGAAUUGCCACAGAAAUGACAGGUAGUAUUUCUAAACUGAGAAAAAAAUAUUAAAAGCUUGAAAAAUAUUAAGCCUCAGGCUACUUGUACUUUAUGUAUUUGGUAGUAAAAGGAAAAGACUUUAGGGGAUGCUUCUUUCAGCUUUUGCUGCAGACUGACAGUUAAAAAGGGAAAUAAACUAGAAAUAGACU